rnacentral:rRNA from 1 species
AUUGAACGCUGGCGGCAUGCCUUACACAUGCAAGUCGAACGGCAGCAUGGAGAGCUUGCUCUCUGAUGGCGAGUGGCGAACGGGUGAGUAAUGCAUCGGAACGUACCGUGUAAUGGGGGAUAACGUAGCGAAAGUUACGCUAAUACCGCAUACGACCUGAGGGUGAAAGCAGGGGAUCGUAAGACCUUGCGUUAUACGAGCGGCCGAUGUCAGAUUAGCAAGUUGGUGAGGUAAAGGCUCACCAAGGCGACGAUCGGUAGCGGGUCUGAGAGGAUGAUCCGCCACCCCGGGACUGGGACACGGCCCAGACUCCUAGGGGAGGCAGCAGUGGGGAAUUUUGGACAAUGGGGGCAACCCUGAUCCAGCCAUGCCGCGUGGGUGAAGAAGGCCUUCGGGUUGUAAAGCUCUUUCGGCCGGGAAGAAAUCGCACAGGCUAAUACUCUGUGUGGAUGACGGUACCGGCAUAAGAAGCACCGGCUAACUACGUGCCAGCCGCCGCCGUAA